rnacentral:rRNA from 1 species
GACGAACGCUGGCGGCGUGCUUAACACAUGCAAGUCGAACGGAAAGGCCCUGCUUUUGUGGGGUGCUCGAGUGGCGAACGGGUGAGUAACACGUGAGUAACCUGCCCUUGACUUUGGGAUAACUUCAGGAAACUGGGGCUAAUACCGGAUAGGAGCUCCUGCUGCAUGGUGGGGGUUGGAAAGUUUCGGCGGCUGGGGAUGGACUCGCGGCUUAUCAGCUUGUUGGUGGGGUAGUGGCUUACCAAGGCUUUGACGGGUAGCCGGCCUGAGAGGGUGACCGGCCACAUUGGGACUGAGAUACGGCCCAGACUCCUACGGGAGGCAGCAGUGGGGAAUAUUGCACAGUGGGCGGAAGCCUGAUGCAGCAACGCCGCGUGCGGGAUGACGGCCUUCGGGUUGUAAACCGCUUUCGCCUGUGACGAAGCGUGAGUGACGGUAAUGGGUAAAGAAGCACCGGCUAACUACGUG